rnacentral:rRNA from 1 species
AAAAACAUAUUUAAUAGAUAUAAUUAUUAAUAACUCCUGCUCAAUGAAUUUUAAAUAGCCGCAGCUCAUACUGUGCUAAGGUAGCAUAAUCAUUUGUCUUUUAAUUAAAGACUAGAAUGAAAGGACCCACAUUUAAAUUAUUAUUAAAUUUUAAUAACUUUAACUUUUUUUAAAUAUAAUAAAAUAUUUAUAAUUAAGAAAGACGAAAAGACCCUAUUGAACUUUACUUUAGUUUAACUGGGGUAGUUAAUUAAUAAUUAUUUUAAUUAAUAAUCAAUUAUAAAUGACCUGAUAUAAUCAAUUAUAUAAUCAAGUUACCAUAGGGAUAACAGCGCAAUAAUUUUUAUUAGCUCUUAUAUAAAAAAAUGAUUACGACCUCGAUGUUGAAUUAAUUAAUCUAAUAGAUGCAAUUAUCUAAUUAGAAAGUCUGUUCGACUUUUAAAAAAUUACAUGAUCUGAG